GGGUUUUCUCUCGCAUUCUUUCCAAGCCCGAAACCCUAACUCGGCAUGAUACAAACUUACAUGGCUUAUUCGGGUGAGUUAUGGCGCUUGAGAGAUGGCUGAUCCAGUUCCCUGCCUCGACUUCUUUUCGGUACAUUUGAAAUUGUCCUUCGUUCUCUCAUUUCUGUGUCACGUCCUGCUACGUCGAAGGGUGCCUUUCUUAGGGGACAGGGGAAUUUAUCAGUAUAGCUUGGUCUUAAUUUGGAUGCUUGCUCCCGUUUAUUUUGUUACUAUGGUCAUGAGGAUUUGGUGCUCAAGGUCGCGAAUUAGGAUUUCAGUACAUUGAUGAGUGCAUUUCUGGCUUGUCAUUUUGUACACAUCCAGAUUGCGGUUCUUCACUCCGUACACCAGGUUGUUUUGUUCGGUUGAGUCAGUCAGCACAUAGUCGUAGGGAAUGAAUGUAAGUGAUGGUUUUUUCAUGGGUGGGAAUGAUGCUUGAGUUGUAGCUGGAUUUCGACGCCUUGGCAGCUUUAAGGACUGAGGGCCUCCAACCUCCCAAUCCUCGCGUACGACCAUUGGAUAAUCUGAACAAGUGUCGUCGUAUUCUGCCCUCAGAUGUGCCUGAAUCUCUUGCCAACGCGCCUGUGAGAGGCCCGCGCUCCCAAGAAUCCAUUGCUGCGCAGCAACGUGCUAAGGCUCGCACAUCGUUAUUAUUGGAGAAAGCAGCAGAGCGAGCUCGGCAAGCGAAGGUUCUUGACACUAUAGCAGAUAAAAUAAGACAAGGACCUUUAGGUUUGCUCGUAAGAUGCUACGAAGAGAGAGCACGUAUUCAGGUUUGGACACGUCAUACGCAUGGCAUCCGGGGUACAAUGGUGGGCUUUGUGCGAGCCUUGGACAAACAUUUUAACAUGGUGUGAAUCACUGAAUAAAACGAUUGGUUUUUGGGCAGGUGCUGCAUGAUGUUGACGAACAAUAUUCAGUUCGUCGUCGUGUACCUCGGCUUGUGAACAAGCGAGGUCGAGCGAAGGUACCAAAAAACGAAGAGGAAAUGUCUGCGAACUCUUUGUUAGACAAAGUAAGGGAGGAUGGGACUGAGCGUCAAAGGAAAGAACAAAUUGCAGUUGGAGUUGAAAACCUCACGGAGGCAAUGAAGGAACUGAGGUUGUUUCCCAAACUCGAAUAUCGGCGGCGGCAUCUCAAGCAGGUUUUCGUACGUGGGGACAGCGUAGUCAUGGUCCGAAAGCUGGUGUAACGUGGAAGUGCAGCAGUAGAAUGGUCAGAGCAGCUUUUCAGAUUCUUGCAUCUAUGCGAACAAAGAUUUCACCCUCAUUUUAUUUUUGAACAUUUUUUGUAAAUAAAUUAUUCAUCGAUCGGCUUCUGUAACCAGCUUCAAACAUAAUUUAGUUGCCAUUUUCUGGGACUGUUCUGUAAGAAAUUAGGGGAUGUUUGUACUAGGCGAUACUAAAUGUAGUUUCGCUGGUGGAUUUAUCUGGGAUUAUUUGGAAUUAACCGAAUUUAUUCAUCAAAA